GAUGAACGCUGGCGGCGUGCUUAACACAUGCAAGUCGAACGAAGCACUCUAUUUGAUUUUCUUCGGAAAUGAAGAUUUUGUGACUGAGUGGCGGACGGGUGAGUAACGCGUGGGUAACCUGCCUCAUACAGGGGGAUAACAGUUGGAAACGACUGCUAAUACCGCAUAAGCGCACAGUAUCGCAUGAUACAGUGUGAAAAACUCCGGUGGUAUGAGAUGGACCCGCGUCUGAUUAGCUAGUUGGUGGGGCAACGGCCUACCAAGGCGACGAUCAGUAGCCGACCUGAGAGGGGGACCGGCCACAUUGGGACUGAGACACGGACCAAACUCCUACGGGAGGCAGCAGUGGGGAAUAUUGCACAAUGGGGGAAACCCUGAUGCAGCGACGCCGCGUGAACGAAGAAGUAUUUCGGUAUGUAAAGUUCUAUCAGCAGGGAAGAUAAUGACGGUACCUGACUAAGAAGCACCGGCUAAAUACGUGCCAGCCGCCGCAGUAA
rnacentral:rRNA from 1 species